rnacentral:rRNA from 1 species
GAUGAACGCUAGCGGCAGGCCUAAUACAUGCAAGUCGGACGGGAUUUGGGAGCUUGCUCCUAAUGAGAGUGGCGCACGGGUGCGUAACACGUAUGUAACCUACCUUAAUCAGGGGGAUAGCCUCUCGAAAGAGAGAUUAACACCGCAUAAUAUAUUUUUAUGGCAUCGUAGAAAUAUCAAAUAUUUAUAGGAUUAAGAUGGGCAUGCGGAACAUUAGCUAGUUGGUAAGGUAACGGCUUACCAAGGCUACGAUGUUUAGGGGAUCUGAGAGGAGGACCCCCCACACUGGUACUGAGACACGGACCAGACUCCUACGGGAGGCAGCAGUAAGGAAUAGUGGUCAAUGGGCGCAAGCCUGAACCAGCCAUGCCGCGUGCAGGAAGACGGCCCUAUGGGUUGUAAACUGCUUUUGUACCGGAAUAAACCCUUUUACGUGUAAGAGGCUGAAUGUACGGUAAGAAUAAGGAUCGGCUAACUCCGUGUCAGCCGCCGCCGUAA